GACAGAGGGUGCAGGCGUUGUUCGGAAUUAUUGGGCGUAAAGGGCGCGUAGGCGGCCUCGUAAGUCAGAUGUGAAAUCCCCGGGCUUAACCCGGGAAGUGCAUCUGAUACUGCUUGGCUUGAGUGCUGGAGAGGGUGGUGGAAUUCCUGGUGUAGAGGUGAAAUUCGUAGAUAUCAGGAGGAACACCGGUGGCGAAGGCGACCACCUGGACAGACACUGACGCUGAGGCGCGAAAGCGUGGGGAGCAAACAGG
rnacentral:rRNA from 1 species